UGUAGUUCCUCUCACUGUAAUCUAUAGGUUUUUCGGGUUUGUACUUAUUAGAUCUGAUUUUGGAACUGCUAUGUUUCAAGUACUGCGUAUUCCUUUGUCUUUGCGGAUCACGGAAUUUUCUUUGAUUGGUUGAUAGAUAUGUUAAAUUAUACCUUGUGAGUUCAUGAACUGUAUUAUGAGACUGGAGCGGAUUGCUAAUUGAUGGUGUAUGGUUUGAUUGGAGGAGACAUCGUGUCUCUGUGCAGAACUGUUGCUUGAACUUCAACUAUGUCCCAAAACGUGCGAACUUUUAUUUUUUGUAACUAUGUUUUUGAGGGCUUAAGAUUAGAACAUUGUUCAUCUUGUGUGAAAGGUGAGCUGAAAUUGGGUUCAUCCCUAACUUGUGGGAAAAAUAAUUACCGUCCACUUGAAGGUAUUUAGGUAAAUUUUUUGUUAUAAAAAAUCAUACCAUAGAUGGAUCUCUGUUGCCUGAUGUGGUCUGAAACAAGGGGUAGGAGGAUGUGAUUCCUGGAAAUUUAGGCAACAAGGUUUAUUCGGUCUUUAGGGAAGACAUGAGUGUUUCUAAUUCUUGAAGAUGUAUUGACCUAGUGCACCUGAAAGUAUAAGUUCAUUAAUCAUUAGUGAUGCGGGUGUGUGGUAGAGUGUAAGGUAUAUUGUUUAUAUUGUUGUUGAUCUUUUUGAGUUAAUGACAAAUGAGAACGGCUGUAUUUGUCAUAGUUAUCUAUUGACAUUAUUUAUGGAACUGUUUGGGGAACCUUUGUUGAUAUACAUCAUGGUAAGUUUUCUCUAUUUUUAUUUAUUUAUUUAUUUA
rnacentral:misc_RNA from 1 species